GCCGAUGGAAAUUAUAUUGCCUUGGUGGGGAGCUUCCCGGCAACGAAAGUCUUCCGGUUCCGGGGGAAGUAUGGUUGCAAAGCUGAAACUUAAAGGAAUUGACGGAAGGGCACCACCAGGAGUGGAGCCUGCGGCUUAAUUUGACUCAACACGGGGAAACUCACCCGGCCCGGACACUGUGAGGAUUGACAGAUUGAUAGCUUUUUCAUGAUUCAGUGGAUGGUGGUGCAUGGCCGUUCUUAGUUCGUGGAGUGAUUUGUCUGGUUUAUUCCGAUAACGAGCGAGACUCUCACCUACUAAAUAGUUGGUACAUACUCUUAGUGUAUACUGCUUCUUAGAGGGAUUUGCGGCGUUCAGCCGAAAGAAAUUGAGCAAUAACAGGUCUGUGAUGCCCUUAGAUGUCCGGGGCUGCACGCGCGCUACACUGGCAAAAUCAACGUGCUUGUCCUACCCUGAAAGGGGCGGGUAAACCAUUGAAAAUUUGCCGUGAUUGGGAUCGGAAAUUGCAAUUAUUUUCCGUGAACGAGGAAUUCCAAGUAAGUGCGAGUCAUCAGCUCGCGUUGAUUACGUCCCUGCCCUUUGUACACACCGCCCGUCGCUGCCCGGGACUGAGCCAUUUCGAGAAAUUUGGGGACCGUUGAUUUAAUUUUUCUAAAUUACUUUGAUGGAAACCAAUUUAAUCGCAUGGGCUUGAA
rnacentral:rRNA from 1 species